GCGACCUCAGCUCAGGCGGG
rnacentral:rRNA from 1 species